GAUGAAGAACGUAGCGAAAUGCGAUAAGUAAUGUGAAUUGCAGAAUUCAGUGAAUCAUCGAAUCUUUGAACGCACAUUGCGCCCGCCAGUAUUCUGGCGGGCAUGCCUGUUCGAGCGUCAUUUCAACCAUCAAGCCCCCGGCUUGUGUUGGGGACCUGCGGCUGCCGCAGGCCCUGAAAACCAGUGGCGGGCUCGCUAGUCACUCCGAGCGUAGUAAUACAUCUCGCUCAGGGCGUGCUGCGGGUUCCGGCCGUUAAAAAAGCCUUAUUUUCCCAAGGUUGACCUCGGAUCAGGUAGGAAGACCCGCUGAACUUAAGCAUAUCAAUAAGCGGAGGA
rnacentral:misc_RNA from 1 species